CAAUAGCGUAUACUAAAGUUGUUGCGAUUAAAAAGCUCGUAGUUGGAUCUCAGGCAUGGGCGCACGGUCCGCCUCGCGGCGGUCACUGUGUGUUUUGUUUCCCAUCCUACGCUUCCCGGUUAUCAGCCCAUGGUGCUCUUCACUGCGCGUUUUGGGUGGCCGGAACGUUUACUUUGAAGAAAUUAGAGUGUUCAAAGCAGGCACGUCGCCUGAAUAAUGGUGCAUGGAAUAAUGGAAUAGGACCUCGGUUCUAUUUUGCUGGUUUUCGGAACACGAGGUAAUGAUUAAGAGGGACAGACGGGGGCAUCCGUAUUGCGGUGUUAGAGGUGAAAUUCUUGGAUCAUCGCAAGACGAACAACUGCGAAAGCAUUUGCCAAGCAUGUUUUCAUUAG
rnacentral:rRNA from 1 species